UCAUUAGGUAGGAUAAUUCUUACCUCUUCCUCUUCCUCAUAAGGAGGGCAGCGAGAAAAAUGAUGAGCGGAGCCCGCAUGAAGCGUGAUUAGCGCCUCCUGGCGGUCGAGUCCUGCAAUACCCUGAUUGCUCCUAUCUGAU